rnacentral:rRNA from 1 species
UGGAUCUUAGUGGCGAACGGGUGAGUAACGCGUAGGCAAUCUGCCUUCUAGAUGGGGACAACAUCCCGAAAGGGGUGCUAAUACCGAAUGUUGUAGUUGGUUCGCAUGGACUAGCUACUAAAGGUGGCCUCUGAAUAUGCUACCGCUAGAAGAUGAGCCUGCGUCUGAUUAGCUAGUUGGAGGGGUAACGGCCCACCAAGGCUUCGAUCAGUAGCCGGUCUGAGAGGAUGAACGGCCACACUGGGACUGAGACACGGCCCAGACUCCUACGGGAGGCAGCAGUGGGGAAUCUUCCGCAAUGGACGAAAGUCUGACGGAGCAACGCCGCGUGAGUGAAGAAGGUUUUCGGAUCGUAAAGCUCUUUCGUUAGGGACGAACGUGCUCUUUGUGAAUAAUGAGGAGUAAUGACGGUACCUAAAUAAGAAGCCACGGCUAACUACGUGCCAGCAGCCGCGGUAAUACGUAGGUGGCAAGCGUUGU